AUUUCUCUGUGAAGAGAUGUUGCAAGCGGGUAGUCCCCUGAGCCGAUAUUUCAUACCACAGAAUGGCUCCGCGGUUGGUGAGCAUACUCAGUUCGUCCGAAGCCUUAAAACUGUGAGCGACACAUUCACCUUGAACAAGGGUUCAGGGUUUACAGCGGCAUCUCGGAGAAUUC
rnacentral:other from 1 species